CCUGGGGGGGUGAGAAUCGCGCGGUGAGGGCUCCGCGCAAAUCCAUCUUACUCUCAAUAGCUAAGUGACAUGAAAGCCAUAAAAGAAAAAGUGGUCAGCAAUAUUUAGCUGCACGACUUGGCCCCGGGCGCAGAAAGCCGCGCUAUAAAAAGCCGCUGGAAUUUACUGGCGGCUACAAAUAUUUGCUUAACUUGCGUCUGGAGUUGGGGGGUUUUCCGGGGAGAGAGGAGGAGAGUGAGUGAGGGCUGGGAGCCGGAGUCCAAAAGAAGAAAGGCCUGAUGGGUUAGAAAGGGACGGGGUUGGGAUCCUUCUUUUCCAAGGAAGAAGAAAUUCAGGGUGUCCCCUCCUCUGUGCUCCGGCACCUCCUCCAGCGAGCCCCAGGUCCCACUCCCUCUGGAAAUUUUGGAGAAGGGGCAAGGAGGCAAAGGGGAGUCGCCAAUUUUUUUUCUCCAAUUCUCGCAUUACCACUUGUAUUUGCCAAAAGAGCCCUGACAGGGAGUGAUGUCCCAUCCACCCCCAUUUUGGAUGUUCCAGAACCAAAGAGAGGCAUGUCCCAGCAAGCCACUCCCACCUCUUCUCCGCUGCUGAAAAAGGUCCCCAGACCCUCCUGCCUUGGAUUUUCUGAGGUGCUGUUAUUCAGGCAACUAUCAAAUUCUACCUGUUAAAACAUGAUGGAUUAGAGAAAAAAACAACCCACCAGGAACCUGAAAAACCAGCGUUCAUCUCCAUGACCACGGCUUGAACUCUCCUUCCAACUUAACGAUAAUAGGUUCUGUCUUAGAAACUGCUAUGUAAUUUGAUGUAUGGGGGUCAUUUGGCUCUGGACGAGGGAUGGGAGCACAAGCCAUAAAAUCCUGCCAGAGUUCCCUGA